rnacentral:rRNA from 1 species
GGCCGCGGUAUCCUAACCGUGCAAAGGUAGCAUAAUCACUUGUCCCCUAAAUAGGGACUAGAAUGAACGGUUAAAUGAGGGCUUCACUGUCUCUUACAUUCGACCAAUAAACCUGAUCUUUCAGUCCAAAAGCUGAAAUAAACCCAUAAGACGAGAAGACCCUGUGGAGCUUCCAAACCAAGCCCACCACCCUAUGUCCCCUUGGUUUUUAGUUGGGGCGACUUUGGAGCACAAACAACCCUCCAACUACGGACCUUCCCCUCUAGAUGUACAUAUCAACAAAAAUUUUCCCCGACCCAGUAGCUAAAUUGUCUAUCUGACCAAUGGACCAAGUUACCCCAGGGAUAACAGCGCCAUCCUCUUCUAGAGUCCCUAUCGACAAGAGGGUUUACGACCUCGAUGUUGGAUCAGGACACCCCUAUAGUGCAGCCGCUAUAAAAGGU